UGGGUCGUUAGCUCAGUUGGUAGAGCAGUUGACUUUUAAUCAAUUGGUCGCAGGUUCGAAUCCUGC
rnacentral:tRNA from 1 species